GAUGAACGCUGGCGGCGUGCCUAAUACAUGCAAGUCGAGCGAACAGAUGAGGAGCUUGCUCCUCUGACGUUAGCGGCGGACGGGUGAGUAACACGUGGAUAACCUACCUAUAAGACUGGGAUAACUUCGGGAAACCGGAGCUAAUACCGGAUAAUAUAUUGAACCGCAUGGUUCAAUAGUGAAAGACGGUUUUGCUGUCACUUAUAGAUGGAUCCGCGCCGCAUUAGCUAGUUGGUAAGGUAACGGCUUACCAAGGCAACGAUGCGUAGCCGACCUGAGAGGGUGAUCGGCCACACUGGAACUGAGACCCGGUCCAGCCUCCUACGGGAGGCAGCAGUAGGGAAUCUUCCGCAAUGGGCGAAAGCCUGACGGAGCAACGCCGCGUGAGUGAUGAAGGUCUUCGGAUCGUAAAACUCUGUUAUUAGGGAAGAACAAAUGUGUAAGUAACUAUGCACGUCUUGACGGUACCUAAUCAGAAAGCCACGGCUAACUACGU
rnacentral:rRNA from 1 species